GACGAACGCUGGCGGCGUGCUUAACACAUGCAAGUCGAACGGAAAGGCCCUGCUUUUGUGGGGUGCUCGAGUGGCGAACGGGUGAGUAACACGUGAGUAACCUGCCCUUGACUUUGGGAUAACUUCAGGAAACUGGGGCUAAUACCGGAUAGGAGCUCCUGCUGCAUGGUGGGGGUUGGAAAGUUUCGGCGGUUGGGGAUGGACUCGCGGCUUAUCAGCUUGUUGGUGGGGUAGUGGCUUUCCAAGGCUUUGACGGGUAGCCGGCCUGAGAGGGUGACCGGCCACAUUGGGACUGAGAUACGGCCCAGACUCCUACGGGAGGCAGCAGUGGGGAAUAUUGCACAAUGGGCGGAAGCCUGAUGCAGCAACGCCGCGUGCGGGAUGACGGCCUUCGGGUUGUAAACCGUUUUCGCCUGUGACGAAGCGUGAGUGACGGUAAUGGGUAAAGAAGCACCGGCUAACUACGUG
rnacentral:rRNA from 1 species